GUCCCUUCAGGGACAUCCGAUGAAAUUGGAACGAUACAGAGAAUAGCAUGACUCCUGCGCAAGGAAGGAUGAACACGCAUGAGGUAAGCCAAGGGAGC